GACGAACGCUGGCGGCGGGCUUAACACAUGCAAGUCGAACGAACGCCUUCGGGCGUUAGUGGCGCACGGGUGAGUAACACGUAGGCAAUCUACCCUCGGCUGGGGGAAUAACCAGGGGGAAACCCUGGCUAAUACCGCAUAACAUCUGGACGUCGCCUGGCGACCAGAUCAAAGCUUUAUGUGGCCGAGGAUGAGCCUGCGUCGGAUUAGCUAGUUGGUGGGGUA
rnacentral:rRNA from 1 species